rnacentral:rRNA from 1 species
GUAGACGUCAUAGUCUAGCCUGCUCACUGACAAAGAUGUUAAAUAGCCGCGGUAUUUUGACCGUGCAAAGGUAGCAUAAUCAUUAGUUUUUUAAUUGGAAACUUGUAUGAAUGGUUGGACAAAGAAAAAGCUGUCUCUUUUAUUAAAAUUGAAAUUAACUUCUAAGUGAAAAGGCUUAGAUUUUCUAGAGGGACGAUAAGACCCUAUAAAGCUUUAUAAAUUAAGUAAGUUAGAACAAAUUUUAUAGAAUAAAGGUAAAUUUAAUAUAUUUAUUUGGUUGGGGCGACAAUGGUAUAAAUUAAAUAACUGCUAUUAAAAUUAAACAAUUAUAUUUGAUUAAAAUUAUAAUUGAUCCUUAUUAUGGAUUAAAAGAUCAAGUUACUUUAGGGAUAACAGCGUAAUUUCUUUUAAGAGUUCUUAUCAAAGAAGAAGUUUGCGACCUCGAUGUUGAAUUAAAAUGUCUUUAUAGUGCAGAAGCUAUAAAAGAAGGUCUGUUCGACCUUUAAUUUUUUACAUGAUUGAUUUUUCAAACCAAAA